UGCUGAGUAAUCGGGGAUUCGGGGCUUCGGGGGCAUUCUGGAAGGAUUGAUUCUGGAACACAUAUCUUUGCGCUCUGCCGCCGCCUCAUGGCAGGCCAUGGCGACGGUGACGGUGCCGCCGCACCCUUUGCUGAUGCUCUGGCUUCGGUGUUGCUGGUGCGGUUCCGGCGCAGAUGUGAGGCAGGAGGAAUGCAGAAACGCCGAGAGCCCUUAUGAAGAGGAGGGCUGCGGCAGCGGCGCAGGAGCACAACAUCGGUGAGGCUGCCGGGAGGAAGAGGCAGCUGUAUGGCUUCUCCGCAUCGCUGGUCGUCGCACCGUGGGUCGCCCGUCUCCUCAACUCGCUCAUCGGCCACAUCGACGGUCAACAUGGUGGCCAGGUGUCCAAGCCUUCCAUCUGGUAGUGUCUAAGGGAAUCUUCACUUCUUGAGUGCCACGAAUCCAUGGAUGACCUAUAAUUGUCAUUGUUAGUCUUGCAGUGUCAUAUGCAAGCUGAACAAUAGUUAUAAAUCAAGAAAAUAAACGGUACUUACAGAAGGUUUGUGCAUCUGUCAUCCUCUUGCGGUAAUCCUUAUUAAGGAGCAUUUGUCUCUACUCUUUGCCUCUUUCUGGACUCGGCCUUGGUUGUGCUUCAUUCCCGGCCGGUGGCAACAGUAAGGUAUUGGUUUCAUUCCCGUGGCUGAUAUAUGCUGUCAAAUAGCUUACUCUUGCAUUUGUUUGGCCUCUCCUCAAAGUCUGUUACUGAUAUAGCCUUUUAUUUAGCAAGCUUAUGCUGCUCUUUGCAUCCAUUGAUAUGUACAUGACUCCGAGAACAUGUUCGUUUUAAUUUUCUUUCGCUUAUAAGGGGCCUUGGUAUUAGCCUCUUACUUCUGGGCAUGAUUAUUUGUUGCAUAGGGUCUCCUCCUCUUUGGUGGAAUGAUUGAUGCUAUUAACGUGUCCAACAGUGAUGACUGAUGACAUGUACUUCUAGCAACAACUGUUCCUAAUAGUGAAUAUUGAUUAAAUCGAAACUAAAAUUCUAAAGUUGUACUGUUGAAGUGUCUUGAAGUACUGUUUUAAACGAAAACUGAACUGAAUUUUUGGUUUUAUGAAAUCUAAUUCCAUGGUUAGCACUUGGUACUACACAUUUUUCAAAAUAAACUGAUUUUUUUUGUUAUAACUGACUUCCCUCCCUGACUCCCCAAGUCCAUCUCCUAGGCAAGCUGGACCGAGCCCUCAAUGCUCUGGUGGCCGAGUGACGAGCACUCGAACAGAUGCCGGCCUGAAAUGGUGAAGAUGCCAAAGAUGACACAUCUGAUGCUUGCGUGGGUCCAAGCGAGCCAAUGAGGUUGCGGUGACUCCCGACUCUGACGACGACGAGAUCGAUGCACUUCACACGCAGCGGGACAUAAUCCCCCUCGAUGUCAAUGAUGGUCAGUGCAGAGCAGCAGCGAGGGAGUCAAAGGAUGAUGAUUUGGUUAUUCCAUACUUCUAUAGGAUGAGGCUGUAAUGUUUAAUGGUAGAUGGUAGAGAGAUUAAAAAGGAGAAGAAGAUUGAAUGUCUCGGCCUUCGGCAUUCAGGAAAAGAUGCAACCAAGAGAAUGGAAAUUCCCUUGAAAGAAUAAGGUUGAAUCAAAGACGUGGUUGGUCAGUUGCGAGAUUGUUGCCAAUGGAACAACCUAAAAACUCAAAGAUGAUGGUUUUUGUCCCAUGAGGUGACUGCAAUUGGAAAUAAGUUUCUGACAGGGAAUGGGUGCUUACAAGUUCACUAUGUCAUUAAUGGUGUUUGUGGCCUUCUGGAGAUAGAAUUGCCACCCCAAGGUGCUCCACAUUCUUUAGAUAAUAGCUUUUCCGUGCUGUUCGUAUGGAAUACUGAUACUUGCUAUUCGUAUUGAGAAAUAAACUCUUGAAUGUGUGGUCACACUCAGAUCUUAUGGUUGCAAAAUUGUACGUGCUAGAUGGAAUUUGUUAGUAGAGGUAUCAAGGCUCAUACAUUGCACUGGAGAUGAGAAAGAAUUCAGCCAUGUUUGCUGUGAGCUAGACAAAACCUUUUUGCGACU